UUUUUUUUUUUUUUUUUUUUGUCUGCACCCAUGGCACGUGGAAAUUCCUGAGUCAGGGAUCAAACAUGUGCCACCACAGAAGCCUGAGCCACUGUAGUGACAGUGUGGGAUCCUUAACCUGCUGAGCCACAAGAGAACUCCCAAUACUUUUCUAAUUAAAAUACCACCAUAUUCUGUAUAAUUUCCUAUCACAGUCAAUAAAUAUUUAAAUCCAUUUGAAAAUAACAUAUAGCUUUUGAUUUGAUAUUGUCAGAGCUUAGUGUGUUGUGGUAUGUCUUCUCUAACACUUGACAAUUACAGGUUUGUUUGUUUGUUUGUUUUUGUCUUUUUGCCAUUUCUUGGACCGCUCCUGUGGCAUAUGGAGGUUCCCAGGCUAGGGGUUGAAUCGGAACUGGAGCCACCAGCCUACGCCAGAGCCCACAGCAACGCAGGAUCCCAGCCACAUCUGUGACCUACACCACAGCUCACGGCAACACUGGAUUCUUAACCCAGUGAGCAAGGCCAGGGAUUGAACCCGCAACCUCAUUGCUCCUAGUCAGAUUCGUUUCCUCAACACCACUAGGGGAACUCCUGAAAGCGCUUCUUUCCUCAAAGCCUAACCAGUACAGUGUGUUAAAAAGCUUGAGAGAGCUGGUAAAUCUGACAGGUGAGAAGUGGUAUCACAGUGUAGUUUUUGGCCUGAAGGACUCAUUUUACUGUUUCUUGAAGUACAGGUCAGCCAGUAAUUAAUUCUCUCAGUUUUUAUCUGGGAGUAUCGUAUGCUCUCCUUCAAUUUCGAAGAAUAUAGAACUUUUGUUUAACAGUCUUUUUUUUCAACUCUGAAUAUGUCACCUCAUGACUUCUGGCCUCCAUGAUUUCUGCUUAGAAAUUAGCCGUUAACCUUAUUUAGGAUGUCUUUUACCUAAUGAGUUACAUCUCUUGCUCCCUUCAACAGUUCACUUAUGAAGUGUCUGGGUGUAGAACUCUCGGAGUUUAUUCUACUAGGAAUCUAUUCUGCUGCUUGAAUGUGUAUAUACUAAAGUUUUUAAUCAAAUUUGGGAAGAGUUUAGGCAUUAUUUAUUCAAAUAUUCCUUCUGCCCUUUCUCUCUUUGCUACUUGGGCUUAAGUUAUGCAUACAUUGAUACGCUUGAUGAUAUCCCACACGUCUCAGAGACUGUUCAUUUUUGUUCAUUCUUUUUUCUUUCUUUUCUUCACACUGGAUAAUCUCAAUGCAUGCAUUCUCAUAUGUAUAAUUGUAUGUAUGUAUAAUGCAUAACGCAUAAGGGUAGUCUAAGAAGGAGAGGAGAGGAAGAAAGGAGCAGGAAAAAAAUAAUUGAAGAAAUUUUGGCCAUGGAUUUCCUAAAUUUGAUGAAAAACACUAAUCUACACAUCAGAAAAGUUAAACAGAUGCC
rnacentral:lncRNA from 1 species